rnacentral:lncRNA from 1 species
CUGGCAAUGUUCUGUUUCUUGAGUAGGAAUUACAUGCGUUCACUUUGUGAUUCAAUGAGCUGUAGGUUUUGUGAUGGGUGUACUUUUCAGUAUGUGUUGUAUAUCUCAUGGUUUAAAAAAAUUUGCUGGAGUUAACAAGUUAGAAAAUAAGUCCCUGGGCAAUGCUGGAUAUACACUACCAACUACUACUUGCUAACUGAGCCCAUCUUUCUAUAUAUGCAUUACAAAUGUGAAAGAUAAGGUAGGCUUGAAUUCUAGGAGUGGCAAUGGUGAAGGAGAGGAGAGACAGAUGCACAAAAUACUGCAGAGCCUGAGGCAGUAUGGGAAGGUGAAGGAGCAUGGCAGUUGGAGUGAGGAGCCCCAAGUUCAAGACUUAACUGGUUUUUAGUCCAGGCUCUAGUCACUCUCUAAGCAUAUGACCUGGCCUAUCUCCUAACUUGCCUUAAUUUCAUUUUUCUCACCUGGAGGGUGGGGUUGAUAAAACUGACAAUCUUUCGUUUGUAACCUUUUGUAAGCUAUUGAAAUGCCAUAUAAAAUUUGUAUUGAUGUCUGAUUCAGUGUGAUGGGGAAGGAGUUAAGGAUGAUUGAGAUUUUGAGCCAGAGUGGAGAAGGUAAUGGUGGUAGCAUGAACGAAAUGAAAAAACCAAGAGGAGAAGCAGAUUUGGAGAAAUAUGACAUUCUAUUUUAUACAUGUUGAGUUUAAGAUCAUGCCAGAACAUCAAGAUGGAAUUAUGAAACAGACACAGAACUGAAGAUUUGGUGCUCUGAAAAAAAAGCCAAGUGCUUUGGAUCUGAAGGCUUGAGAGAGAGAUGGGAGUAACUCUCUGUGAUUCACAGUGACUUGCUGUUCUUGGCCGCUUGUUUCAUGUACUGCCUGGAACCGCCAUUAACUGCAACCAACGUUUUGUCUGUGCAGUUCCUGCGCAAUUUGGAAACCAUGAACUCUUUAGGAAUGGCAGGAAUAUUUGCCCUGAGCUAACAUCUGUGCCAGUCUUCCUCUGUUUUGUGUGUGGGUCGCCACCAAAGCUUGGCCGCCAGCAAGUGAUAAGAUUAGCCCUGAGCUAACUACUGCCAAUCCUCCUCUUUUUGCUGAGGAAGACUGGCCCUGAGCUAACAGCCAUGCCCAUCUUCCUCUACUUUAUACGUGAGACGCCUACCACAGCAUGGCUUUUGCCAAGUGGUGCCAUAUCCGCACCCGGGAUCCACAUCGGUGAACCCCAGGCCGCCAAGCGGAACUUGCGAACUUAACCACUGCACCACCGGGCCAGCCCCUGACUGCCCUUUCUUCCAUGCUGAUUUCCUUUUAGGAGUGAAAGCCACGCACAACAGGUAGACAGACUCACAUGUGGAAGAUUUCAGAGGUCUUGUCCUCUGCUUUUCUGUUAAGGCAGCCAGAGUCCCAAGGCAGGUGUUGAAGCUAUACUGCACCUUAAGGAAACCAUAGAACAGUGAACCAAUACAAUUCCAGACCUAACUCACCAAGCUCUGGUUCUCCAACAAGUCAUUUGACCAUUGUUACACGUAUUUGUGUCAGUUACUGUUCCAGAUAACUGAGCUGAUAUUCUUAUCUCACUUUCAGAACAUAGAUUAAGAACUCACCCUUGAAGGCAUUAUGCUAAGUGAAAUAAGUCAGACAAAAAGACAAAUACUGUAUGAUCUCACUUCUAUGUAGAAUCUCAAAAAACAAAACUCAUAGAAACAGUAGAUUGGUGGUUGCCAGGGGUUGGUGAGGGGGAGUGUGAUGGAGAGGGUGGAAUGGGUAAAGAUGGUCAAAGGAUACAAACUUCCGGUUAUAAGAUGAAUAAGUUCUGGGGAUCUAAUGUGCAGUAUAGUGACUGGUUAACAAUACUGUAUUGUAUACUUGAACGUUGCUAAGGGAGUAGUUCUUAAAUGUUCUCACCACAAAAAAAUCCAAAGUAACUGUGAGAUAAUGUUGUGUUAACUAACCUUAUUGUAGUAAUCAUUUCACAAUAUAUAUGUAUAUCAAAUUAUCAUGUUGUAUACCUUAAACUUACACAAUGUUAUGUCAAUGAUAUCUCAGUAAAGCUGAGGCGGGAGAAGCAGCUCAGUCAUAACAUACUGACUUCCAUCCUCCUCCUUCCUGCAUCCGGACUCCACCCUGUUGAGUUACAUCCCCCUCAAUUAGAAGCCAUGCCUGUGCAGCUCAGGAAAUGGAGUAAGUGCAAGGUAGAAACAUCCCCCAACUAAAACUGAGCUUGCUUUCUCCUUUCUCUUCCCAAGGACAUGCCAAGUUUGCAAUAUAAGGGAGCUUGGGACAACCGUCUACUCCCAAGCUGGUUCUAACCAUGGAGCUUUAAGAAUACUUAUAUAUAGUAUGGCAGCGUUUAACAAAAGACCAACCCUGAAAUGUGUGGAGGGAAGAGACCAGAUUCUACAAGCACUUGGAGUUAAAGCAAGACUUGAAUCCAAGAAAGGGUCCAUCCAUUGAGGCCUUAAGUGGGAUCUGGGUAUUUACACUCCCUUUAUUUCGCCUCACCCACCCAUCCACUCAAUUAAAAAGCACCAUCCUUAGGCAAAUCUAGACUCAACUAUGCUUAAAACUAUCCCUUGCUUAUUAGCCCACAGAGUGGGUCAUGUGAGACAGACUUGCAGCUCCAUGGUACACUUUCCCUGCCCCUGGAUUUCUGCAUCUCCAGGCCAGAAAAAGUUAACCCGACAGUUAAAGAGCACAAACUCCACUUUUAUCCACAGAGAUGUCCUUUGACCAGGCAAAAGCACAGAAUCAUUGAAGAAGCUAUACUAUGUUUGAUUCUGAAAAAAGAUUUGGUACUCAAGCCCAAAGAGAUGGAAAACUAGGAAAUGAGAAAUUGAGUUUCAAGUUAGAGAAAGAGAACACUUACAGAUUAUUUAAGGGCAUAAAUUCCAAAACGCCCCACCCCAACCUCCUGAGAAGGCUUUCAAUAGGAUGGGAAGCUGAAAGCUGCUUUUCCCGACCAGCUAACCCACCACUCCCUGCAACAGGCAAACAGUAGGCAAGGUAAUGUAUUAGUAAAACAUUGAAGCCCAAAGUCUUGGUGUAAAUUUAGAUUUUUAAUUUUUCACUUGUACUAAAAAUUGAUUUGUCUGCCCUUCUGCCAUCUGUACAAACAUUCAUGCAGCACCUAGAAGAAAGUACUUAGGUAUCCCUCUUCCCAUUAAACUCUUCAAAUGAAACUCAUUUUGCUUUCUUCUUCCAAGGUACCAUCUUUCUCCAUUAGUACAGGCUCAAAACUCUUCAUUUUUUGUUUAGUUUUUAUUUCAUAAUCAUAAACUUAGCUCUGCAGUGCACCUGGAUUUGGAAGGGAAUAAGAACAUGGAACCCAAAGAGCUGCAGUGAGAGUACAAAGAUUAUAGGAUAUAGUGAGCAGAUGAGGGUGGUAGAUGCUCUCCUGAGCUGCAGAAGGAAUGAUCUAGAGGUUAAGAUAAAACAUGUCAAAUUUACUGGAGUUGUCCAUAGUCAGCAAUAGUUAGCCUCUUGAUGGUCCUGCCAUUCCUGGACUAAAGCACUCCAUGGCUUCCUCUUCUGCCCUACCAAAGACCACGUUUGCCAUCCAACUACUCAGUCUUGGCACUGCAGAUGAAAACAGUUCUGGGAACCAUUUGUGUUGGGUCCAGCGUUUGCAAUGAACAAGAAACUGGGACCACAUGCUUCGGGAUGAAACUCUCAUCAUCAAGUUUCUCCCUGCAGGUGGGCUUGCUGCCGGUGCCAUUAUGGCAUGUGAAGUCACCACUCUGGAACAUAAACCCUGGAAUAAGUCUGUGACAGCGGGAAACUUUAUAACUAAAUCCUUUCUCCCCACUGCUCAAGAGCAUGAAAGUUUUCUGCUGCCUUUGGAACUGUGUCUGCAAACAGCUCAAAAGAGACGGCCUGAGGGCUCGCCAUGGACAUCAAUGUCGGAAGAACACUGGGGUUGACCAUAGCUCGGUGGCACUGACAGCAGUGUCUGCAAAGCCAAACAUUCUUCAUUCUUUAAUCCAAAUUGCUUCUCCUCCCUGAAAAGAAAUCUAUUUUAUUUAUGCCUUUAUCUCCACAAGCAAGGACUUUACCCUAAAUAAGACUAUCACUUUUCUUUCAGAUUACUGAGUCUUGUUCUCUUUGAAUUUAACCUUCCCUUCCUGCCCCCAGACCGUCCUGCCUGCCUACCACUGUUGUCUUCGUCAGAUAUUGCUUUCAGCUUGAGACUCCGCUGAGCAUUACCCUACAGGGUACCUAUGUGG